rnacentral:rRNA from 1 species
CGAGGAAUAUUGCGCAAUGGACGAAAGUCUGACGCAGUAACGCCGCGUGCGGGACGAAGACCUUCGGGUUGUAAACCGCUUUUCCUGCGGACGAGUGAGGACGGUACGCAGGGAAUCAGUCUCGGCUAACUACGUGCCAGCAGCCGCGGUAAGACGUAGGAGGCGAGCGUUAUCCGGAUUCACUGGGCGUAAAGCGCAUGUAGGCGGUUCGACAAGUCGUGUGUGUAAGCCCCUGGCUCAACUGGGGGAGGUCAUGCGAGACUGUGGGACUGGAGGGCAGCAGAGGCGUAUGGAACUCCCGGUGUAGCGGUGGAAUGCGUAGAGAUCGGGAAGAACACCAGUGGCGAAGGCGGUACGCUGGGCUGCACCUGACGCUGAGAUGCGAAAGUGUGGGGAGCAAACGGGAUUAGAUACCCCGAUAGUCCACACCUUAAACGAUGAGCACUAGGUGUGGGGGGGAAGACCCUCCGUGCCGUAGCUAACGCGUUAAGUGCUCCGCCUGGGGACUAUGAGCGCAAGCUUAA